UACGAAGGGGGCGAGCGUUGUUCGGAUUUACUGGGCGUAAAGGGCGCGUAGGCGGCGCCGGAAGUCAGGCGUGAAAGCCCCGGGCUCAACCUGAGAAUAGCGCUUGGGACUCUGGUGCUUGAGUUCGGGAGAGGAGAGUGGAAUUCCCAGUGUAGAGGUGAAAUUCGUAGAUAUUGGGAAGAACACCGGUGGCGAAGGCGGCUCUCUGGACCGAGACUGACGCUGAGGCGCGAAAGCGUAAAAAGCAAACAGG
rnacentral:rRNA from 1 species